AAGACCCGUGCCUACAGUUGCCAGCAUAUCCGCAAGGAUGAUGGGCACACUGUGGGGACCGCCGCUGCUAAAGCGGAGGAAGGAGCGGGCUACGGUAGGUCAGUAUGCCCCGAAUGGUCCGGGCUACACGCGGGCUACAAUGGUUGGGACAAUGGGCACCAACACCGAGAGGUGACGGUAAUCUCCUAAACCCAGCCUCAGUUCGGAUUGAGGGCUGCAACUCGCCCUCAUGAAGCCGGAAUCCGUAGUAAUCGCGUAUCAAUAUCACGCGGUGAAUAC
rnacentral:rRNA from 1 species